rnacentral:rRNA from 1 species
GGGAAAGGAAACUGGACCGACCCUUCGGGGAGCUUGUACAGGUGCUGCAUGGCUGUCGUCAGCUCGUGUCGUGAGAUGUUCGGUUAAGUCCGCUAACGAGCGCAACCCUCGCUGUGUGUUACAAGUGUCACACGGAACUGCCGGUCAUAAACCGGAGGAAGGUGGGAUGACGUCAAGUCAGCAUGGCCUUUAUAUCCUGGGCUACACACUCGCUACAAUGGGAAGGGACAAUAGGUUGCGAAGCCGCGAGGCGGAGCCAAUCCAGCAAAACUUCCCUCAGUUCAGAUUGCAGGCUGCAACCCGCCUGCAUGAAGUUGGAGUUGCUAGUAAACGCAGGUCAGCCAUACUGCGUUGAAUACGUUCCCGGGGCUU